CCUACGGGAGGCAGCAGUGAGGUAUAUUGGUCAAUGGACGAGAGUCUGAACCAGCCAAGUAGCGUGAAGGAUGACUGCCCUAUGGGUUGUAAACUUCUUUUAUAAAGGAAUAAAACGAGGCACGUGUGCCUUUUUGCAUGUACUUUAUGAAUAAGGAUCGGCUAACUCCGUGCCAGCAGCCGCGGUAAUACGGAGGAUCCGAGCGUGAUCCGGUUUUAUUGUGUUGAAAGGGCACGUAGAUGGGUUGUUAAGUCAGUUGUGAAAGUUUGCGGCUCAACCGUAAAAGUGCAAUUGAUACUGGCAGUCGUGAGUACAGUUGAGGUGGGCGGAAUUCGUGGUGUAGCGGUGAAAUGCUUAGAUAUCACGAAGAACCCCGAUUGCGAAGGCAGCUUACUAAACUGUGACUGACAUUGAUGCUCGAAAGUGUGGGUAUCAAACAGGAUUAGAUACCCUGGUAGUC
rnacentral:rRNA from 1 species